GGUGCUGCGCCCGGCGGAGGCCAUAGGCCAGGCGGGGGCCAUGGUCAGUGUGGGGAGCCGUGGUCAGUGUAUGGGCCAUGGUCAGUGCGGGGAGCCGUGGACAAUGUAUGGGCCAUGGUCAGUGUGGGGGGCCAUGGUCAGUGCGGGGCCACGGUCCAUUCGGGUGUGUGGGGAACUACUGUGGCCGUGUGCGUCCGUGCAGGGCAGCGUGAGCGCGCAGAGCAGGUGCUGUGGCUGUGUGUGUGCCCCAGCGCUUCGUUGCGCCGUGCGGGGACACCACGGGCUCUUGACACGCCCUUGGACACAGGGCCUGCGACAGGCACAGGUUUCCAACAUGGAAGCCCAGCCUCACAUGGAAUCCUUUCUGGACUCAGGUCCCUAGGUUUUGGAGCAAGGACCCUCCCGAGAUACCAGGGGCUGCACUUCACACUCGUGUAAUUCCCUCCCAGGAAGGCACUGAAACUGGAGGGGCUGCUCAGGGUCUUUAUUGCUGCUCUGGCAUGUUGCUUGCUCCAAACCAUGGGGACAUUGGCAACUCCAGAGCCCGACAGAGAGGAGGGGACAGGAAUGGGGACUGGAAUGAGCAGACGCCUUCUCCCCAAAAUCAAUAAAUAAAGCCCUAUCACUA